GGAUGGAUGUCUGAGCGGUUGAAAGAGUCGGUCUUGAAAACCGAAGUAUUGAUAGAAAUACCGGGGGUUUGAAUCCCUCUCCAUCCG
rfam:Morus notabilis contig20559, whole genome shotgun sequence.